UACGUAGGUGACGAGCGUUUAUCCGGAAUUAUUGGGCGUAAAGCGCCCGCAGGCGGCUUAUCAAGUCUGACGUGAAAGCCCUCAGCUCAACUGAGGAAGUGCGCCCGAAACUGCAGAGCUUUGAGUACCGGAGAGGAUGGCGGAAUUCCCCAAGUAGAGGUGAAAUUCGUAGAUAUGGGGAGGAACACCGGUGGCGAAGGCGGCCAUCUGGACGGAUACUGACGCUGAGACGCGAAAACGUGGGGAGCAAACAGGG
rnacentral:rRNA from 1 species